AAGUGCGAUAUUUAGUGCGAUUUGCAUGAAUCUGUGAGUCAUCGAGUCUUUGAACGCAACUUGCGCCUGUAAAGGCAUGUCUAUUUGAGUAUCUAUAAACCAAAUGCAGAAAUGCGAUUUUAUUAGUCCAAUAAAAUGGUCUAAUUAAAUAUAGAUCUUUUUAACAAAAGGUUAAUUAUACCUUCUUGAAGCUAAAGACGAAAGUCUUGUUCAAGAAAUAUUCUUAAUCUCUUAUAUUUGAUCUCAAAUUAGGCAAGAUUACCCGCUGAACUUAA
rnacentral:misc_RNA from 1 species